UGGAAAAUACUUUGAAAUCUUAGAAAAUAACAAAGAUCUGAAGUAGAUCUUAAAGAGAAACAAAGAAUAAAAAUCUUGGAGACAUAGGGUUUUAGAGAAAACCCUAGAGAAUGAGAAUGACCAUGGAAAGGGCUGAUCCUGAGUCGGAGGUGGACUCACUGGCUAGGACUUGCUGAAAAUGGGCCAGAAAUGGCCAUAAAAACUCAAAUCAGAGGACCUCUAAACUGGGGAUCUUCAAGGUCAGACCUUGGAUCUUUGAAUAAAGAGAGGAUAAGGGUGAGUGGGGGUGGAUAUAGGUUACACAGGGCCUGGGUUGCCAUGGUUUCCGGUGAAAUAAAGUCAGAAAUUGGUCGGAGAGGGCUAGGAUUUCACAGGGUGGUUGAGAGCAUUUAGGAGGCAAAAUGGGUUCAAA
rnacentral:lncRNA from 1 species